rnacentral:rRNA from 1 species
UACGGAGGGUGCGAGCGUUGUCCGGAAUCACUGGGCGUAAAGGGCGCGUAGGUGGCUACUCAAGCCGCGCGGUGAAAGCCCGGGGCUCAACCCCGGGUCGGCCGUGCGGACUGGGAGCUCGAGCACUGUAGGGGCGGGUGGAAUUCCGGGUGUAGCGGUGGAAUGCGUAGAGAUCCGGAAGAACACCGGUGGCGAAGGCGGCCUGCUGGGCAGUAGCUGACGCUGAGGUACGAAAGCAUGGGGAGCGAACAGG